GUAUGCUAUGAUUUAUACCCUGAAGGCACCAGAUCCUGUCUGAUCUUUGAAGCUAUGUAGGGCUAGCCAUGGAUAGUGCUUGGAUGCUGUUUUUUAUAAUCAGAGAAAGGCAGGCGUAAACC
rnacentral:rRNA from 11 species